rnacentral:rRNA from 1 species
UACGUAGGGUGCAAGCGUUGUCCGGAUUCAUUGGGCGUAAAGAGCGUGUAGGCGGCCAGGUAGGUCGGUUGUGAAAACUGGAGGCUCAACCUUCAGAGGUCGACCGAAACCAUCUGGCUAGAGUCCGGGAGAGGAGAGUGGAAUUCCUGGUGUAGCGGUGAAAUGCGCAGAUAUCAGGAAGAACACCCGUGGCGAAAGCGGCUCUCUGGGACGGUACUGACGCUGAGACGCGAAAAGCGUGGGGGAGCGAACAGG